GAUAGCGUGGACGAUCCGCGCGCAUACGCUCGCCAUGAAUCCGUGCGCGUUUCGCGGCGACGGUUUGGAAUGCGAGAGACGCGCAAAAGACGAAAGUAAUCGAAUACCAUCUCGAGUUCGAGGUACGGGAACGAUCGCGUAUAAGGGAAACGAUGAUCGGAGGAAAAAUUUCAAAAUGAACGACGAUCAAAUAGGCCAAGUAUCGGCUAGUACAAUAUUCUUUAUUUCAUCUUCACCAAAUACUCGGUGCGUCUGCACGCGUAUGCAUCCAAUUUUUAUUUUCCUUUCUUUUAUUCUCGAUUUCUUUUUUAUUCUCGA